rnacentral:rRNA from 1 species
UGGGGGAUAUUGCACAAUGGGGGCAACCCUGAUGCAGCGACGCCGCGUGAGCGAUGGAGUACUUCGGUAUGUAAAGCUCUGUCAGCAGGGAAGAGAAUGACGGUACCUGACCAAGAAGCCCCGGCUAAAUACGUGCCAGCAGCCGCGGUAAUACGUAUGGGGCAAGCGUUAUCCGGAUUUACUGGGUGUAAAGGGAGCGUAGGCGGCAGGGCAAGCCUGAUGUGAAAGCCCGGGGCUCAACCCCGGGACUGCAUUGGGAACUGCCCCGCUCGAGUGCCGGAGGGGCAGGCGGAAUUCCUAGUGUAGCGGUGAAAUGCGUAGAUAUUAGGAGGAACACCAGUGGCGAAGGCGGCCUGCUGGACGGUGUACUGACGCUGAGGCUCGAAAGCGUGGGGAGCAA